rnacentral:rRNA from 1 species
AUUGAACGCUGGCGGCAGGCCUAACACAUGCAAGUCGAACGAGUGGCGGACGGGUGAGUAAUGUCUGGGAAACUGCCUGAUGGCGGGGGAUGACUACUGGAAACGGUAGCUAAUAACGCAUACCAUCGGAUGUGCCCAGAUGGGAUUAGCUUGUGGGUGGGGUGACGGCGCACCACUGCGACGAUCCCUAGCUGGUCUGAGAGGAUGACCGGCCACACGGGAACUGAGACACGGGCCAGACUCCUACGGGAGGCAGCAGUGGGGAAGAUUGCACAAUGGGCGCAAGGCUGAUGCAGCCAUGCCGCGUGUAUGAAGAAGGCCUUCGGGUUGUAAAGUACUUUCAGCGGGGAGGCGUUACCCGCAGAAGAAGCACCGGCUAACUCCGUGCCAGCAGCCGCGGUAAUUC